rnacentral:rRNA from 1 species
GACGAACGCUGGCGGCGUGCCUAAUACAUGCAAGUCGAACGCUUCUUUCCUCCCGAGUGCUUGCACUCAAUUGGAAAGAGGAGUGGCGGACGGGUGAGUAACACGUGGGUAACCUACCCAUCAGAGGGGGAUGACACUUGGAAACAGGUGCUAAUACCGCAUAACAGUUUAUGCCGCAUGGCAUAAGAGUGAAAGGCGCUUUCGGGUGUCGCUGAUGGAUGGACCCGCGGUGCAUUAGCUAGUUGGUGAGGUAACGGCUCACCAAGGCCACGAUGCAUAGCCGACCUGAGAGGGUGAUCGGCCACACUGGGACUGAGACACGGCCCAGACUCCUACGGGAGGCAGCAGUAGGGAAUCUUCGGCAAUGGACGAAAAUCUGACCGAGCAACGCCGCGUGAGUGAAGAAGGUUUUCGGAUCGUAAAACUCUGUUGUUAGAGAAGAACAAGGACGUUAGUAACUGAACGUCCCCUGACGGUAUCUAACCAGAAAGCCACGGCUAACUACGUG